GGUCAGGUAGUAAUGGAGCCGCGUGGGAUCCGUUAUAGGGAGUGGAGCAGUGCUGCGAUCGUUACUGCGGCCUGUCAGGGAGUGGUGGAGCUGUGCGGAAUCUGCCGCAGGAAAUGUAGCAGAAUCGUGGCCGUGAUUGUGGCCUGGGAGUGCAGAUCUGUCGGCUGAAGUUCGGCAGUGGUCGGAGUCCGGCCAUCGUAGAGGUCCGAAUGAAGACUGUCUGCAGCCGUUGGAAUCGAGGACGGAGCCCGGCUCCCAC
rnacentral:lncRNA from 1 species